rnacentral:rRNA from 1 species
UACUAGAGAAUAGCCAAGAGAAAUUUUGAUUAAUGCUCUAUACUCUUUUUAACUCACAUGAGUUUUUAAGAAAAGCUCCGGCGGUAAAAGAUGGGCAUGCGUCCUAUUAGCUUGUAGGUGAGGUAACGGCUCACCUAAGCUCCGAUAGGUAGGGGUCCUGAGAGGGAGAUCCCCCACACUGGUACUGAGACACGGACCAGACUUCUACGGAAGGCAGCAGUAAGGAAUAUUGGACAAUGGAGGAAACUCUGAUCCAGCGAUGCCGCGUGAAGGAAGACGGCCCUAUGGGUUGUAAACUUCUUUUAUACAGGAAGAAACCUUUCCACGUGUGGAAAGCUGACGGUACUGUAAGAAUAAGGAUCGGC